GAUGCGACCCCACCUAGGAAAUCUGCGUACUUUGUCGAGCUCAAAUCUGGCUUAUUCAAGCUGUACUCGAUGCAAAUGAUCAAUCAGAUCAGUAAAGUAUAACUCAUGUGCCCUCGACACAAUUUAGUAUAAAAAUCAAAGAUCUGGAUCCACUGCCAAAUCCAGACAGCACCCAACUAUGCAACUCAGCCUAUAUUCUGCUGUGAAAAUCCACUCGUCCCUUCAACACGAAUGUAAAUCCAAUCUACACUAAUCUAAGUACUUACAACCCACUAAUAGGGGUGAGAAGACAAUAAAAAUAACUGACUAAGUUAAUCUUUAACGACGACAAUUAACUAGUAUGUAGUGCAGGUUUUCUCCUAAGUCAAAUCCCAAUUCAGCAAUUAAACUU
rnacentral:lncRNA from 1 species